AUGGAGAUGCAUGUGAGAUCCUCCCUGGUGGUUCUGUGGCUUCAUAUUUUUUGUGUGAGUGGCAAAACCCAAGUGGAACAGAGUCCUCUGGCCCUGGUGGUCCUGGAGGGAGAGAAUUGCACAUUUCAGUGCAAUUAUACAGUGAGCCCCGUUAACAACCUAAGGUGGUACACACAGGACCCUGGGAGAGGUCCUGUUCCCCUGAUCACCAUGACUAACAGUGACAACAAAAAGUCAGAUGGACGGUACACAGCGACUGUGGAUGCAACUGCCAAGCACAGCUCCCUGCACCUCACCGCUGCCCAGCUCGGCGACCCAGCCUUCUACAUCUGUGUGGCGGGCGCACCGUGCUCCCCAGGCACUCGCACUCUGUACCCAAACCUGCACCUGGAGGUUGUUGAGGAGCAGUUUUUGAAGUGUUGUGUGUAA